GAGCCUCGUGAGGUCAGGCCCAGUGCUGUGGUACAGUGGUAUCAGUAGUGUUCUCUGACUCUGAGCCUCGUCAGGUCAGCCCAGUGCCGUGGUACAGUGGUAUCAGUAGUGUUCUCUGACUCUGAGCCUCGUGAGGUCAGGCCCAGUGCCGUGGUACAGUGGUAUCAGUAGUGUUCUCUGACUCUGAGCCUCGUGAGGUCAGGCCCAGUGCUGUGGUACAGUGGUAUCAGUAGUGUUUUCUGACUCUGAGCCUCGUGAGGUCAGGCCCAGUGCUGUGGUACAGUGGUAUCAGUAGUGUUCUCUGACUCUGAGCCUCGUGAGGUCAGCCCAGUGCUGUG
rnacentral:lncRNA from 1 species